CCUACGGGAGGCAGCAGUGGGGGAUAUUGCACAAUGGGCGAAACCCUGAUGCAGCGACGCCGCGUGUGGGAAGACGGUCCUCUGGAUUGUAAACCACUGUCCCCAGGGACGAAGAUGACGGUACCUGGGGAGGAAGCUCCGGCUAACUACGUGCCAGCAGCCGCGGUAAUACGUAGGGAGCGAGCGUUGUCCGGAAGUACUGGGUGUAAAGGGAGCGUAGGCGGGGAUGCAAGUUGGGGGUCAAAGCUACGGGCUAAACUGGGAGUCGCACUCAAAACUGCAGCGCUUGAGUGAAGUAGAGGCAGGCGGAAUGCCUAGUGUAGCGGUGAAAUGCGUAGAUAUUAGGAGGAACACCAGUGGCGAAGGCGGCCUACUGGGCUUUUACUGACGCUGAGGCUCGAAAGUGUGGGGAGCAAACAGGAUUAGAUACCCGAGUAGUC
rnacentral:rRNA from 1 species